GACGAACCGUGCGAACGUUAUUCGGAAUCACUGGGCUUAAAGAGCUUGUAGGCGGUUUGUCGCGUCUGCUGUGAAAAUCCAGGGCUCAACCCCGGACUUGCAGUGGGUACGGGCAGACUAGAGUGUGGUAGGGGAGACUGGAAUUCCUGGUGUAGCGGUGAAAUGCGCAGAUAUCAGGAGGAACACCGAUGGCGAAGGCAGGUCUCUGGGCCACUACUGACGCUGAGAAGCGAAAGCAUGGGGAGCGAACAGG
rnacentral:rRNA from 1 species